AUCAACGAAUAGACGGCAGGUUGUUCAUUGUGUUUGUUGUCACAAGAACACAAGUGUCACAGCGCAUUUUUGUUGUUAUGUUCUCAAUAUUCCGCAAAUUGAGCUCAGGAUGGCGUCAUGUACCAGCAGUCGUCCACCGCUGCUCUGGGUCAUCGGCGACCACUAGAGUGCCAUUGUCAUAUCUACAAGGAGAACUUACAUCCAUUGAGGAUGCAGGGACAUUCAAGCAUGAGCGUGUCAUUGAGUCAAAACAAGGACCUUCAAUUAUGGUCCAUGGCAAUCGCAGCAAAAUACUGAAUUUCUGUGCGAACAAUUACCUUGGCCUCUCAAGUCAUCCAGAAGUGAUUGAAGCUGGCAAGAAAGCAUUGGACAGCCACGGCGCAGGUCUAAGCUCUGUGAGAUUCAUCUGUGGCACUCAGGACAUUCAUAAGGACUUGGAGAAGAAGUUAGCCAAGUUUCAUGGCAAGGAAGACUGUAUUCUGUACAUCAGCUGCUUUGACGCCAACACUGGAUUGUUUGAGGUUCUCCUGAAUGAGCAGGAUGCCAUUAUCUCAGAUGAGCUCAAUCACGCAUCCAUCAUUGACGGUAUACGCCUGUGUAAGGCCAAACGCUACAGAUACAAGCAUAUAAACAUGCAGAUGUUGGAAGAGCAGCUUCAGGAUGCCCAGGCGUGCAGACACAGGCUGAUUGCUACUGAUGGAGUGUUUAGCAUGGAUGGCAAAGUGACGCCCCUCAAGAAAAUCUGUGAACUGGCUGACAAAUACAAUUCCAUGGUUUUCAUUGAUGAGUGCCAUGCUACUGGAUUUUUUGGAGAGACAGGAAGGGGCACGGAGGAGUAUUUCAAGCUGGGAGGAGACAAGAGAGGUGCGGACAUUAUCACCUCUACACUAGGCAAGGCUGUGGGUGGAGCUUCAGGUGGUUACACUUGUGGUCCCAAGGAGCUGGUGACCUUGUUACGCCAGAGGUCGCGACCUUACCUCUUUUCCAACUCACUCCCCCCACCUGUGGUGGCCUGUGCAAGCAAGGCGCUGGACAUUAUAAUGGCGAGCCCCGACCUUCCAGGCAAGGUUCAUAGUAACACUGUGAGGUUCAGGAGCAAGAUGCAGGAUGCAGGCUUCAACGUCGUGGGGGAUCCGGACCAUCCAAUAUGUCCAGUGAUGCUUGGAGAUGCUAAACUAGCAAGCACAUUCUCCAAUGAAAUGCUAGCCAAGGGAAUUUAUGUGAUUGGAUUUUCCUAUCCUGUGGUGCCAAAAGGUCAAGCUCGAAUAAGAGUGCAGAUUUCUGCGGCGCAUUCCACUCAAGACAUCGACAGAGCAGUUGAUGCCUUUGUCUCAAUAGGAAGAAAAUUGAAGGUCAUACAGUAAUGUCUCAAGUUUUCUUGACCAAAAUAUCGGUGGCUAUGAUUACAGAAUUAAUAUAAAAACAAAAAUCUGCAGCCUGCAAUACGGUAAAUAAAAAGUAUGUUGGCUAGGUUGCUGAAACUUGAGAUCCUGUUCUUUCUCAAACAACAUUACAAUAGGAUACUCCUGUUUUUUAUUUUACAAAGCUCUUGUUGAUAUUUUCAUAAAAGAUCAAACUUGAUAAGAUUGUUUUUACUUAGAUCUAUUAUAUAUUUUUAUGUACAAAAGAUAAAUGUCAACAUUCAGUAGAAAAUAAUUCCAGUGCGAGCAAAUAUGCACAAUCGGAAGACGUGUAAAUAUGAUUGAUGUUACCUAUAAACUUAAUGUUAAUGCGUCAUUUUUUAACAAUUUUUAUUUUAUGAAUAAAAGUAUACUUUAUGAAUCUCAAUGCUAUCCGUAAGCUAGCAAAGAAUAGGUAUUGGCAGAUAAAAUUAUGUUACCUCUUGUGAAAUCUUGUUUUUGUUUUCUUAAAUUAGUGUUACUUUUAAGGGUCUUUUUGUAAAAAAGACAAUAGGGUGACUCUCCCUUAAGUUGGAUGGGUUAAACAAACAUUUUAAUAACAUCAAGCUCUUCAUUCAAAGCAAUGACUCAUAAUGUGUUGAAGGCUUUUAAUAUUUUAUUUAUAUAUUUUUCAAAUAACAAUUUGGCUCCCAGCUUAUUUACAUUGAAAAAUAGUUAUCAAUACCCACUAAAUUGGCCCAUGAGUGGAACACAUUCAUCCUUAACAUGGACACCUAGUUUUCUUUAACAAUGAUUGGGUUAAUUAUUCUCUACAUAUAGAUUUUGUCAACAUGUUGACAAAAAUAUGUUGUUUUUUUUAAAUGAGGACAAAUGACAUGGUCACUUCUAGUGUCUACGUGACCUUCACAUGUUAAUUGGAAUCAAUACGUGGUCAAGUCUCAACCGUUUGCCUCUUCAGUAGGUUAAAACAUGUUCGCCAUAAGUGCGAAUUGCGUUUGUCACACGGGCUAAUUGCCUACCUAGUAACACAUAUUGUGAAAUCUAUUAAAUAGAACGCACAAAUGAAAAUAGCCUUCGAUUAUUGCAGAAUUACCUAUCGUUUUUACUAUCAAGUCAUUUUUGACUGCUGUGAAAUGCACUUGGCCAAAAUGCCAAUGACAUAAAGCUGAUCAAUAAUGGAAAUUUCUGAGUUUACCGUCAUAUGGUUUUUAGCUCACCUGAUUGCUCAGGUGAGCUUUUGUGACCGGUCUUUGUCCGUCGUAUGUCCGUCCGUCCGUUAACAUUUGCUCGUAAACACUCUAGAGGCCACAUUUCUUGUCCCAUCUUCAUGAAACUUGGUCAGAACCUUUGUCCCAAUGAAAUCUCAGCCGAGUUCGAACCUGGGUCACUAGGUAAAAAAAAAGAAAAACCUUGUAAACACUGUAGAAGUCACAUUUCAUGCCCAAUCUUCAUGUAACUUAGUCAAAAUGUUUGUCUUAAUGAUAUCUUGGUUGAGUUAAAAUGUGGUUCCGAUCCGUUGAAAAACAUGGCCGCCAGUGGGCGGGGCAGUUUUUCUUAUUUGGCUAUAGAGAAACCUUGUAAACACUGUUGAAGUCACAAUUUUUGCCCAAUCAUCAUGAAAGUUGUUCAAAACAUUGGUUCAAUUGAUGUCUCGGACGAGUUAAAAAAUGGUCGAGAUCGGUGAAAAAACAUGGCCGCCAGUGGGCGGGGCAUUUUUGCCCAAUCAUCAUGAAAGUAUGUAAAAACAUUGGUUUUAUGGAUAUCUCGGACGAGUUUGAAAAUGGUUGGGAUCGGUGAAAAAACUUGGCCGCCAGUGGGCGGGGCAUUUUUCUCUAUAUGUAUAUAGUGAAAACAUGUGAACACAGUAGAAGUCACAUUUUUGGCCCAAUUUUCAUGAAAUUUGCUCAGAACAUUUGUUUCCCAGGCUGCUGGGAGGGAGGCAGUUUUCUCAUUAUGCCCCCCCCCCCCUUUCGAAGAAGAGGGGGUAUAUUGCUUUGCUCAUGUCGGUCCGUCCAUCCACCAGAUGGUUUCCGGAUGAUAACUCAAGAAAGCUUAGGCCUAGGAUCAUGAAACUUCAUAGAUACAUUGAUCAUGACUCGCAGAUAACCCCUAUUGAUUUUCAGGUCACUAGGUCAAAGGUCAAGGUCACGAUGACCAGAAAUAGUAAAAUGGUUUCCUGAUGAUAACUCAAGAACGGUUAGUCCUAGGAUCAUGAAACUUCAGAGGUACAUUGAUCAUAACUUGUAGAUGACUCCUAUUGAUUUUCAGGUCACUAGGUCAAAGGUCAGGAUGACCGGAAAUAGUAAAAUGGUUUCCGGAUGGUAACUUAAGAACGCUUAUGCCUAGGAUCAUGAAACUUCAUAGGUACAAUGAUCAUAACUCGCAGAUGACCCCUAUUGAUUUUCAGGUCACUAGGUCAAAGGUCAAGGUCACGGUGACCCGAAAUAGUAAAAUGGUUUCUAGAUGAUAACUCAAGAACGCUUAUGCCUAAGAUCAUGAAACUUCAUAUGUACAUUGAUCAUGACUCGAAGAUGACCCCUAUUGAUUUUCAGGUCACUAGGUCAAAGGUCAAGGUCACGGUGACCUGAAAUAGUAAAAUGGUUUCUGGAUCAUAACUCAAGAACUCUUAUGCCUAGGAUCAUGAAACCUCAUAGGUACAAUGAUCAUGACUCGCAGAUGACCACUAUAGAUUUUCAGGUCACUAGGUCAAAGGUCAAGGUCACGGUGACCUGAAAUAGUAAAAUGGUUUCUGGAUGAUAACUCAAGAACGCUUAUGCCUAGGUUCAUGAAAUUUCAUAGGUAUAUUGAUCAUGACUUGCAGAUGACCCUUAUUGAUUAUCAGGUCACAGGUCAUGGUCACAGUUCCAAAAAACGUAUUCACACAAUGGCUGUCAAGGUCACGGUGACUCAACUUAGAAAAAUGGUUUCCGGAUGAUAACUCAAGAAUGCUUACGCCUAGGAUCAUGAAACUUCAUAGGUACAUUGAUCAUGACUUGCAGAUGAAAUAAUGUUGACCAGGAUGUUUGUCUGGACAAUAUCUAGGUCAAGUUUGACAUUUGGUAAAGAUUGAAUGAACCAACUCCUCUCAUGUUAGCGCAACUAGGGCCAUCUAGGCCCUCUUGUUUAAAUUUAAUUAUUAUGCCCCCCUUCGAAGAAGAGGGGAUAUAUUGUUUUGUUCAUGUCGGUCCAUCCGUCCGUCCACCGAAUGGUUUCCGGAUGAUAACUCAAGAACGCUUAAAUCUAGGAUCAUGUAACUUCAUGGGUACAUUAAUCAUGACUUGCAGAUGACCCCUAUUGAUUUUUAGGUCACUUGGUCAAAGGUCAAGGUAACGGUGACUUGACACAGAAAAAUGGUUUAUCGCAUGAUGACUCAAGAACGCUUAUGCCUAGGAUCAUGAAACUUCAUAGAUACAUUGAUCAUGACUCGCAGAUGACCCCUAUUGAUUUUCAUGUCACUAGGUCAAAGAUCAAGGUCAUGGUGACCCAAAGCAGUAAAAUGGUUUCCAGAUGAUUACUCAAGAAUGCUUAUGCCUAGGAUCAUGAGACUUCAUAGAUACAUUGAUCAUUACUCGCAGAUGACCCCUAUUGAUUUUCAGGUCACUAGGUCAAAGGUCAAGGUCAUGGUGACUCAAAGCAGUAAAAUGGUUUCCAGAUGAUUACUCAAGAACGCUUAUUCCUAGGAUCAUGAAACUUCAUAGAUACAUUGAUCAUGACUCGCAGAUAAUCCCUAUUGAUUUUCAGGUCACUAGGUCAAAGGUUAAGGUCACGAUGACCCGAAAUAGUAAAAUCGUUUCCAGAUGAUAACUCAAGAACGUUUAGGCCUAGGAUCAUGAAACUUUAUAGGUACAUUGAUCAUGACUCACAGAUGACCCCUAUUGAUUUUCAGGUCACUAGGUCAAAGGUCAAGGGCACCCUGACUCGAACAAGUAAAAUGGUUUCUGGAUGAUAACUCAAGAACGCUUAUGCCUAGGAUCAUGAAACUUCAUAGGUUCAUUGAUCAUGACUGGCAGAUGACCCCUAUUGAUUUUCAGGUCACUAGGUCAAAGGUCACGGUGACUCAAACCAGUAAAAUGGUUUUCGGAUGAUAACUCAAGAACGCUUACGCUUAGGAUCAUGAAACUUCAUAGGUACAUUAAUCAUGACUGGUAGAUGACCCCUAUCGUUUUUCAGGUCACUAGGUCAAAGGUCAAUUUGACGGUCACAGUGACAAUAAAAGUAUUCACACAAUGGCUGUCACUACAACUGACAGCCCAUAUGGGGGGCAUGCAUGUUUUUUUUUCAAACAGCCCUUGUUUAAAAUGUAUUUAUCUAACUUUUUCUGCUUUGAAUAAAUACAAUUUCACGCUUUGCUAAAUCUUGCUGGAAAUGAUAGAACCAAAAAGUAAAAACAUAAAACAUUCUGCUUUCUUAAUGGGAUGAAACUGUUUCAAAUGCUGUUGGGUGAAUCCAUUGUUUUCUACCGGUAUACAUCAUUACAUGUUUAUUUACCCAAUUGCGCGAAUGUAAUGAUCCAUUGCCCCAGACAUGCAUCUGCCAGGUUUUAUGACCUUAAUCCGGUUGUAAAAAUUAAUGCUUAAGUGUAACAAGAUAAGCAAAAACAGGGCCGAAGUCUGUAGAAUAGCGCUGUUAAAUAUACUGUUGGAAAACUUAGAGUAAUAACAGUAAUUAAAAUUCUUGGGUUUAGAUU